AGAUACCCUGUUAUACUUAAUUGUAAUUUAAACUAAACCAGCGUAGUAGUAGUUAUAUUCUUAAAAUUCAAAGAAAUUGGCGGUGCUUUAAUCUUGUCAGAGGAACCUGUUUUAUAAUCGAUAUUCCACGAAAAAUCUUACUUAUUUUAAAUAGUUUGUAUACCGUCAUUAGUAGAUAAUUCUGAAAAGAAAAAUUAUCAUAAAUAAUAUAAUUAAAUAUAUUAGAUCAAGGUGCAGCCAAUAAAUAAGAAAAAAUGGGUUACAAUAGUAAUUUACUUAUCGGAUAAAAAAUUUAUAUUAUUUUUUUAAAGAAGGAUUUGUUUGUAUAUUUAAUUUAAUAUGUUAGU
rnacentral:rRNA from 1 species